GGAGGAGCAACUUCCUGGGCAUGCGUGUUAAGAGACAAAAUCGUGGAGUAUGGCCUUCUGGGGGCACAUUGCCGGGUGAGGGAAGAAAGCCUCAGAUGGGAAUGGAUAUAACUUCCUAAACACACCGUGCAUGCUCACUUCCUAAAGGAUGGAUAAAGCAACUUGGAACCAAUUAAAAAUAGCUGGGUCUGGUGUCAGGCGACGUGGAUCACAUCAUUUCACCUGUCUCAGCCUCAGUAAUCACUUAGAGAUCCCAUAGCUAAAGGCUUAUAGGCAGAAUGGACUUGCCUUGUCUCAGAUGAGACUUUGGACUUGGAAUUUUGGGUUAAUGCUGGAAUGAGAAGACUUUGGGAGACUGUCGGAAAGGAAUACAAAGAGAAGUCAACCACUUACAAACCAGGAAGAGAGCCUCACCAGAAACUGACUUUGCUGGUACCCUGAUCUUAGACUUCCCAGCCUCCAGAACUGUAAAAAAUAAAUUCCUUUGUUUAAGCUACUCAGUCUGUGGUAUUCUGUUAUAGCAGCCCGGACUAAGACAACUAAGUAAUUUGACUUCAUUCACACAGGUAGUUAAGUAGUAGAACCAGGAAGUGAACCAGAUCUGCCUGAUGUCAAAUACUAUAAAUUCUUGUUUUCUAAUGUG
rnacentral:lncRNA from 1 species